CCUACGGGAGGCAGCAGUAAGGAAUCUUCCACAAUGGACGAAAGUCUGAUGGAGCAACGCCGCGUGCAGGAUGAAGGCUUUCGGGUCGUAAACUGCUUUUAUAUGGGAAGAUUAUGACGGUACCAUAUGAAUAAGGACCGGCUAACUACGUGCCAGCAGCCGCGGUAAUACGUAGGGUCCAAGCGAUAUCCGGAAUUACUGGGCGUAAAGCGUGUGUAGGUGGAUUAAUAAGUGUGAUGCGAAAUCCGGCGGCUCAACCGUUUGGACUGUGUCGCAUACUGUUAGUCUAGAGGACGGCAGAGGUAAGUGGAAUUACGGGUGUAGCAGUGAAAUGCGUAGAUAUCCGUAGGAACACCAAUGGCGAAGGCAGCUUACUGGGCCACACCUGACACUGAGACACGAAAGCGUGGGGAGCGAACAGGAUUAGAUACCCUGGUAGUCCACGCCGUAAACGAUGCAUACUAUUAGUAUGGGGUAUCGACCCCCUGUGCUGAGAAGCUAACGCGAUAAGUAUGCCGCCNGGGGAGUACGAGCGCAAGCUUAAACUCAAGGAAUUGAGG
rnacentral:rRNA from 1 species